GUUCCCGUAGCUCAGUGGAUAGAGCACCGGUCUCCGGAACCGGUGGCGCUGGUUCGAUUCCAGUCGGGAACAC
rnacentral:tRNA from 3 species